rnacentral:tRNA from 1 species
GCGGGGUCGUAGCACAGAGGUAGUGCGCGUACACAACAUGGACGAGGACGCCGGUUCGAAUCCGGCCGCCCCGCCCC